rnacentral:rRNA from 1 species
AGCAGCCGCGGUAAUUCCAGCUCCAAUAGCGUAUAUUAAAGUUGUUGCAGUUAAAAAGCUCGUAGUUGAAUUUCGGGAUCAAUACGUCGGUCGUGCCUCGGUACGUACUAACGUUAUUGGUUUCUCCCUUCUAACAAAUCGUGAUGUCAUUAAUUUGGUGUUACGGGGAGUUAGGACUGUUACUUUGAAAAAAUUAGUGUUUAAAGCAAGCAAUCGCUCGAAUACAUUAGCAUGGAAUAAUGAAAUAGGACGUUCGACCCUAUUUUGUUGGUUUCUAGGAUCGACGUAAUGAUUAAUAGGGAUAGUUGGGGGCAUUAGUAUUCAAUUGUCAGAGGUGAAAUUCUUGGAUUUAUUGAAGACUAACUACUGCGAAAGCAUUUGCCAAGGAUGUUUUCAUUAAUCAAGAACGAAAGUUAGGGGAUCGAAGACGAUCAGAUACCGUCGUAGUCUUAACCAUAAACUAUGCCGACUAGGGAUCGGAUGAUGUUAACUUAAUGACUCAUUCGGCGCCUUACG